rnacentral:rRNA from 1 species
AUGAAACAAACCAAAUUCUGCCUGUCAUUUCCGUCCCCUCUCUCGCUCAUGAAAAAGGGUCGUAAUCUUCGAUCCGAAGCGGCGGAUGCUUGCGACGGUGCCCUCUUCCAUCUGCUAUCCAGCACGCCUCCAUUGUUUGGAGUUGAUCGAGUUUGGACGCACGCCGCCCAAUCCCGCACCGCACCGCAGGCACGCUGGACGUGCCACCGGCUAAACGACUCGCGGCGCGGCUUUAUAUGCUCCGUAUGCGCUCGCCUCACGAUGCCAGCCAGCCAGGACGCGCCAUGCAUGCCAUCGCGGCGCCUGCGGUGCGCUAGAAGUACAGCGCCCCGAGACGGCAGACGGCACCGGGCUGCUCUGGUUCGCAUCACUGGCACUGGCACCGGCAUGGCGCGCUCCCUGCUCGGCGACGCGCUCCUCUUCUCCGCCGGCGCCGCGGUGGGCGCCGUGCUGCUGCUCACGCUGGCAUCGCCGUUCACUCCGCCCGACGUCCUGCUGGCAAGACGGUCCUCGUCCGCUGGUGAUCGUGAUGCCAGUGGGCGCACGUUCUACGACGACCCGGAGGUGACGUACACCGUGGACCGUCCCAUCACGGGGUGGGACGAGAAGCGCGCCCAGUGGCUCCGCGCGCACCCGGAGCUGGCCGGCGGCGGCGGCGAGGGGCGCGUCCUGAUGGUGUCCGGCUCGCAGCCGACGCCGUGCCGCUCCCCCAGGGGCGACCACGUGCUGACGCGGCUCCUCAAGAACAAGGCGGACUACUGCCGCCUCAACGGCGUGCAGCUGCUGUACAACACGGCGCUGCUCCGCCCGUCCAUGGACCGGUACUGGGCCAAGAUCCCGCUGAUCCGGGCCGCCAUGGUGGCGCACCCGGAGGCGGAGUGGGUCUGGUGGGUGGACUCGGACGCCGUGCUCACCGACAUGGACUUCCGCCUCCCGCUGCGCCGGUACCGGGGCCACAACUUCGUCGUCAACGGCUGGCCGAGCCUCGUGUACGACGAGGCGAGCCCGUCGUGGACGGGCCUCAACGCCGGCGUGUUCCUCGUGCGCAACUGCCAGUGGUCGCUCGACUUCAUGGACGCCUGGGCCGCCAUGGGGCCCGACUCGCCGGACUACCGCCGGUGGGGCGCCGUGCUCACGUCCACGUUCAGGGACAAGGUGUUCAACGAGUCGGACGACCAGUCGGCGCUGGUGUACAUGCUGCAGCACAAGGGCAGCCCGUGGCGGGGCAAGGUGUUCCUGGAGAACGACUACUACUUCCAGGGCUACUGGGUGGAGAUCGUGGGGCGGCUCGGCGACAUCGCGGCGCGGUACGAGGCCAUGGAGCGGCGGGCGCCGGCGGCGGCGCUGCUGCGGAGGCGGCACGCGGCGAGCUGGGACCACGCGGCGCACGCGGCGGCGAGGGAGGCGGCGCUGGCGGGCGCGGGGCUCGCGGAGAGCGGCGUGCGCGGGUGGAGGCGGCCGUUCGUGACGCACUUCACGGGGUGCCAGCCCUGCAGCGGCGACCGGAACCGGGACUACUCCGGGGACAGCUGCGGCGACGGAAUGCGGCGCGCGCUCAACUUCGCCGACGACCAGGUGCUGAGGGGCUACGGGUUCCGGCACGCCGGCCCGCUCAGCGACGACGUGCGGCCGCUGCCGUUCGAUUACCCCGCGGCGGCCGGGAGGCGCUGA